rnacentral:rRNA from 1 species
GACGAACGCUGGCGGCGUGCUUAACACAUGCAAGUCGAACGGAAAGGCCCUGCUUUUGUGGGGUGCUCGAGUGGCGAACGGGUGAGUAACACGUGAGUAACCUGCCCUUGACUUUGGGAUAACUUCAGGAAACUGGGGCUAAUACCGGAUAGGAGCUCCUGCUGCAUGGUGGGGGUUGGAUAGUUUCGGCGGUUGGGGAUGGACUCGCGGCUUAUCAGCUUGUUGGUGGGGUAGUGGCUUACCAAGGCUUUGACGGGUAGCCGGCCUGAGAGGGUGACCGGCCACAUUGGGACGGAGAUACGGCACAGACUACUACGGGAGGCAGCAGUGGGGAAUAGUGCACAAUGGGAGGAAGCCUGAUGCAGCAACGCCGCGUGCGGGAUGACGGCCUUCGGGUUGUAAACCGAUUUCGCCUGUGACGAAGCGUGAGUGACGGUAAUGGGUAAAGAAGCACCGGCUAACUACGUG